rfam:Triticum urartu cultivar G1812 contig1204505, whole genome shotgun sequence.
AUUCACUACUCAGUUGGUAGAGUACAAAUCUCUUAACAUUGUGGACGUGGGUUCAAGCCCCAUGGUGGAUG